rnacentral:ncRNA from 1 species
CUACUCGAAACGUAUUCGAGGUACGGUUUUCUAUAUAUACUUACAUAGGUAGAACACUGACCAUCAUAGUAAUGGUUUUAAUCGUUAAUUUAAUUGGGGAAUCAUAGAUAUUAUACCUUUGAUGUGUUAACCGCCAAAUGAUGUAAUUUUUUUAUGGAAAGGACCGACUAUUCAUGACAAGGUGGAUAGUCGAAACGGAAACAGCCGAGAACAUAGAUAAAAAAAGGUCCCAAAAAAUAAUAACUAAGUGAAUUUAAGGAAGUCAUAAUCCUGAUACAGCAAUGAUGUUUGUUAGCUUGGAGGUAGCUAUCAUUUUGUAAGAGAGUGUAACAACUCAGUUGUCUAAUGGAUUAAUGGAUUAAUGGAUUAUAAGCACUGAUAAUCACGGGUCUCUAGGUUAUUUACCGAAACUAUUAUUUCUGUCAAUUAAAUUAUAUAUUCUAUAAUUUAAUCAGAGUAGAGGAGCAUCUCAUGUGGAUGGAAAAUAGUGUUUCAUUCUUUGGACAUAAUGGGAGAG